rnacentral:rRNA from 1 species
AGGACGAACGCUGGCGGCGUGCCUAAUACAUGCAAGUCGAACGAACUGUGGAAAGCUUGCUUUUCAGAGUUAGUGGCGAACGGGUGAGUAACACGUAAGUAACCUAGCUAUUAGACGAGGAUAACUACUGGAAACGGUAGCUAAGACUGGAUAUGAUAGAAAUAUUUAAAGGAUGCUAAGGCAUCGCUAAUAGAGGGGCUUGCGGCGCAUUAGCUAGUUGGUAGGGUAAAAGCCAACCAAGGCGAUGAUGCGUAGCCGACCUGAGAGGGUGACCGGCCACACUGGGACUGAGACACGGCCCAGACUCCUACGGGAGGCAGCAGUAGGGAAUCUUCGGCAAUGGACGGAAGUCUGACCGAGCAACGCCGCGUGAGUGAAGAAAGUUUUCGGAUUGUAAAGCUCUGUUAUUAGGGAAGAAAGGCUCUAGGAGGAAAUGCUUAGGGAUUGACCGGUACCUAAUGAGGAAGCCACGGCUAACUACGUGCCAGCCGCCGC